CACGUAGGGUGCGAGCGUUGUCCGGAAUUAUUGGGCGUAAAGAGCUCGUAGGCGGUGUGUCGCGUCGGCCGUGAAAACCUGCAGCUUAACUGUGGGCUUGCGGUCGAUACGGGCAUCACUGGAGUUCGGCAGGGGAGACUGGAAUUCCUGGUGUAGCGGUGAAAUGCGCAGAUAUCAGGAAGAACACCCGUGGCUAAGGCGGCUCUCUAGUACGGUACUGACGCUGAGACGCGAAAGCGUGGGGAGCGAACAGG
rnacentral:rRNA from 1 species